AGCCUCUUCCUCCCCUCCUCCCCUGCAGCUAGUCUUGGGAGCGCUGCCGGGACCCCUCACCCAGGUGGAAGGGGGCUCCUGGCCGGGGCGCACACCGAGGAGGGUGGGGGCUGGACCCCACCCCCCAGAUGAUGGGAUGACGGCACCAGCACAGCAGCCUCCUGCCGUGUAGAGCCCGGAUUGAGCAGAGGGAAGACUUCCUGGAGGAAGGAGUGUGAGGACAGGAUGUCAAGAUGGAGCUCCCCUGGGAGUGUCACCGGUAACUAAAGCUGGCUCUGCUGGUGAGAGCAGGAGGAGGUGUCGCUUGGCAACAAGGACAGCACGUAAGAUCCAGCUAAUCUGGGUUUGCCCCAGCAAGCAGCUGCCUGCCUGCUACCCGCAGACCCCCAGAGACAGAUGCUUAACAACUUCUACCUAUUUCCACUUCAGGAAACCUCACGUUCUAGGCGAGUUCCAGCACACCCCAAGGUCUGGGCAGGGAGGACACUUUCUCCCCAUCCUUCCUAUCCUCCCUGUCCCUAUCCCUUUUCUUGAGUCCUAUCUCCCUGUAAAAAAUCUACAGACCUCUCUGGGGAUCCCAGGCUCUGCUGCAAGCCAGGAAA